rnacentral:lncRNA from 1 species
UUCCAACAGACCUCGCGGCAGCCUGGGCUGGAAGAUAAGGAAGCCAAACUUCUGUGGGCAGAGCGCCCUCUGGAGGAAGUACCGUGGAAGCAAUGCAGCCGACUGGUAUGGGCCAACACCGUCCUUCCAAGACAAGCACAGAGACCGGAGGGUGAAAGAUCUCAACAAGCCCUGCAAGAGCAUCUACACACAGGUCCUGAGAGGCAGUGCUGGAAGCCUACACCUCAAGCUGAUGUCAGGGCCAGGCCAUCAUAUUGAAACCCUGCUCGAGUUUGCAGAGAGAAUUUCGUGGGUGGGGCUUUGGGAACUGUUCUGUGCACUUGCUCCAGGAUCCUGUAUUCAACAGGUCCUGCCUACUUCCCCAGCCAGCCCUGCCACACCCUAAUCUCUUAUGUCAUUAGCAUAACAGCCUCCUAAAUUCUGACUCUAAAUAGAAGUAGAAAGAACUAAAACAUGCUCACUAUAAAUUAAAAAAUGUUUAAUCCAGGC